AGAGUUUGAUCCUGGCUCAGGAUGAACGCUAGCUACAGGCUUAACACAUGCAAGUCGAGGGGCAGCAUGGUCUUAGCUUGCUAAGGCCGAUGGCGACCGGCGCACGGGUGAGUAACACGUAUCCAACCUGCCGUCUACUCUUGGACAGCCUUCUGAAAGGAAGAUUAAUACAAGAUGGCAUCAUGAGUCCACAUGUUCACAUGAUUAAGGGUAUUCCGGUAGACGAUGGGGAUGCGUUCCAUUAGAUAGUAGGCGGGGUAACGGCCCACCUAGUCUUCGAUGGAUAGGGGUUCUGAGAGGAAGGUCCCCCACAUUGGAACUGAGACACGGUCCAAACUCCUACGGGAGGCAGCAGUGAGGAAUAUUGGUCAAUGGGCGAGAGCCUGAACCAGCCAAGUAGCGUGAAGGAUGACUGCCCUAUGGGUUGUAAACUUCUUUUAUAAAGGAAUAAAGUCGGGUAUGCAUACCCGUUUGCAUGUACUUUAUGAAUAAGGAUCGUCUAACUCCGUGCCAGCAGCCGCGGUAAUACGGAGGAUCCGAGCGUUAUCCGGAUUUAUUGGGUUUAAAGGGAGCGUAGAUGGAUGUUUAAGUCAGUUGUGAAAGUUUGCGGCUCAACCGUAAAAUUGCAGUUGAUACUGGAUAUCUUGAGUGCAGUUGAGGCAGGCGGAAUUCGUGGUGUAGCGGUGAAAUGCUUAGAUAUCACGAAGAACUCCGAUUGCGAAGGCAGCCUGCUAAGCUGCAACUGACAUUGAGGCUCGAAAGUGUGGGUAUCAAACAGGAUUAGAUACCCUGGUAGUCCACACGGUAAACGAUGAAUACUCGCUGUUUGCGAUAUACUGCAAGCGGCCAAGCGAAAGCGUUAAGUAUUCCACCUGGGGAGUACGCCGGCAACGGUGAAACUCAAAGGAAUUGACGGGGGCCCGCACAAGCGGAGGAACAUGUGGUUUAGUUCGAUGAUACGCGAGGAACCUUACCCGGGCUUAAAUUGCAGAUGAAUUACGGUGAAAGCCGUAAGCCGCAAGGCAUCUGUGAAGGUGCUGCAUGGUUGUCGUCAGCUCGUGCCGUGAGGUGCCGGCUUAAGUGCCAUAACGAGCGCAACCCUUGUUGUCAGUUACUAACAGGUUCUGCUGAGGACUCUGACAAGACUGCCAUCGUAAGAUGUGAGGAAGGUGGGGAUGACGUCAAAUCAGCACGGCCCUUACGUCCGGGGCUACACACGUGUUACAAUGGGGGGUACAGAGGGCCGCUACCACGCGAGUGGAUGCCAAUCCCAAAAACCUCUCUCAGUUCGGACUGGAGUCUGCAACCCGACUCCACGAAGCUGGAUUCGCUAGUAAUCGCGCACCAGCCACGGCGCGGUGAAUACGUUCCCGGGCCUUGUACGCACCGCCCGUCAAGCCAUGGGAGCCGGGGGUACCUGAAGUGCGUAACCGCGAGGAGCGCCCUAGGGUAAAACUGGUGACUGGGGCUAAGUCGUAACAAGGUA
rnacentral:rRNA from 1 species